rfam:Viridibacillus arenosi FSL R5-213 Contig042, whole genome shotgun sequence.
AGGACAGUAUCAAUUUGAUUGAACUGUACCUCGCUAUAAAAAUUAUAACUAAAGAGAUUCGCCUUGAUCUAGUAAUAGACAGGGACGGAAGA